AAGCACUGGCUGGCUGGCUGUGGUGGGGCCGCCUCUGCAGAUGAGGGGGAAUGAAAUCAUCUAGUGUCGGGAAGGUCAGAGGUGAGGCAGCAGGGGUGGUCGCCGGGGUAGUGUGGACGCAGCCAAGUGGCCCCAGAGAUGCUGGAGUUCUGGCAGUGCCUUCUUGCCCUCUGUCAGUAUUAACCAGGUAGAGAGGGACAACUAUUACCUCAGACGGGGCUGGGCUGGAGGAGGUGGCAUCCUGUGGGAAAUAAGGGGUCGUUACGCAAAGGGGACUGCAGAGACGCAGGAAUUCCACAUUUAAACAGUUGCUCAUGGACAUGCAGUGAUGCACUUUGAGAAAUAUUUAAUCAGUGCCCUUUCUUCAGAGUACAUGAGACAGUCAGUGCUAGCCAGUGCUAGCCAGCUGGCCUCCUGACACUCUAUGACACAGAGGGAGCCCCAUCCAAGUUCACUUUCCACCAUCUAUUUUUGAAUCCUUUUAACACUUUAUGAGAGAGAAAGAGAGCAAAGAAGCAGAAUAUGCAGGCAGGCAAGCAGGCAGCGUCCAACUCCACUGAAACCGCCACAGCGCCUGCAAGCUUGGGAGUAAAUACAGCUUCUUUAGCACCUUGUCAUAGGAUAUAAACAUACUAUCUCACCACAUUAUUAGUUCCACGCUCUGGCAUACUGAGACAUUUACAGACAAGAGACAGGGAGACAGAAGAGGCUAGGCUGGGAGGUUUAGAGAGAAGAAUUCAGGAUUCAAGCGCUGUACACUAACGAGGAGAGGGGCGGGAGGGAAGCCCAGAGAACAAGUGAGCCACUUGAGCUGGAUUUGAAAGAGAAAGCGUAGAAGACACACAAACAUUCCUGGUUUCUUGCCUUGGCUGGACAACACGGCUGCAAAAGGAGCACUAGGAGGAAGCACCAGGGCUUGUACCGCCCAGGGAUCUUCUGAGCAUAAGGAAAAUGGCUCCAUUCCAUGCUUCUGGGAGGAACCUGCCAAGUCUCUGGAACGCUACACCGAAAAGGAAUGUCUUGUUUACCUGAGGACUUGAACCACACCAAGAUGAUUUGGAGUCAGGGCUUUGAGCCAGCAAGAGCUUCAUUGCCUACAAGAGUGGAGAUGAGUCUUCAAGGAAGACAGUGGUGCACACCUAUGUCUGGAGUCCCAAUAAAACUUUCGAGAGAGAGGCUCACA